rnacentral:lncRNA from 1 species
AACCGGAACUGUGCCCCCAUCCCCUGCUCUCCUCAGUAGGGCACCCUGAUGCCCGAGAACCAGUGCAGACCACACUGCCAGCCUUGGGGGGCUGGAAAGGAAGAGUUAGAUCUUGGCCUUUCAGGGCUUUGGCCAAAGAAAUUGAAGAACUGUAAGAUUGGGAAAAGUCCAGUUCUACAGAUGAGGAAACUGAGGCCCAGUGAGGGGCUGGGGCUCACUCCAGGUCACAAAGAAUUGGUGUCAGCGCAGAGACUGGGACUGCCCUUUUGGUCACUGGGCACUUUAAGAGGGAGAGAAAGGGAAGCCCAGGGCAAUGUGAAAUUGGCCCUCAGCCAGGCAGAAAGCUCUGGCACCAACCCUACCAAGUUCUCCCCAUGUGGGCAUCUAGUGAUGAGAGGCAGUGUGGGAUGAGGAGGGAGCCCUGAAACAGGAGGCUGGCAUCUGGUCCAGUCUCAAGUGAGUUCUUGGCCUGGGCCUGUUGCUUUUGAGCCCAGCGGUUCACCUGGACAGGGGAAGGUCAGACUACCAGUCUGGGCAGUCCUUACCCUGACAUCCCAUCCCACUAUCAUUUUGCAGGGCUUUCCCCUCUCCUUCCUUUACGUAUACUUGUGGUUAACAUUGUUGAGUGCCUGCUGUGUGCCAGGCAUUGUGCUAAGUAUCUCUUUCGAUCCACACAACAACCCUAUGAAGAUAUUCCCCCCCCCCUCCCCGUUUUAGAGAUGAAAAAACAAAAGCUCAGAGGCCUUGAGGGAUAUGCGCAAGGAAUCGCAGCUUGUUAAGUGCUGGGGUUUGAACCCCUUUGAUGUGAGUUCAGAGCCUUUGUUCCCCAUCACCACUCAUGGGUUCAUCUGGGCCGCCCCGAGCAGCUCUAGGUGUUUGGAGAAAGAAGUGAAAGGAGGGAGAGAGUAUUUGUGCUGCAGGGAGCGAAGCAUGAUUUUUUGGCAGGUGUCUAUCCUGGGUGCUCCCCGUGCCUCACAGCAGAGUCAGCAGGUCCCCGCCAGCCUGAGCAUGAGAGGAAGAGGUCAGCCUCCUUGGGCCAGGCUCUGAGGAGGUGUGGAGUAGAGGCCCCGUGGUUGAGGAGCCAUAGGGAAGUGCUCUAGCCACGCCCAUUGUGAAGGCCACAUUUGAGGGUGUGGCUUUCUCCUAGAGAUCUGAGCACAGUAACAGCGCUCAGUCACAGAGAGGCAGGAGAGAGGUUCUGUUCCUCCUGGGUUUUGGUGCCCCCAUGGCUGUAAGAUUGGCCUAUUAUACUCUUUGGAGUACUGCAUUUCUUCUUACUCUCAAAGCAUCCUUGUUAAGAAGUGGGUAUGACCACCAUGUUUUUUAGGUUAGAAAAACAAGGCCCACAGAGGCCAAGAGCGCUACCCACAUUGAAAGAAUGAAGGGCAGGGCCAGACUGCACCUUUAUUAGAGUCUUUGCCCUGUCGGGAUGGGGACCCAAUUUAGGGGCCAGCAUGUGUCUAGCAGUGGAAUAGGGGUGCAGGGAGGGUGGGGCAAGAGCCCCAUGUGUCCUGGAAGCUGAGGGUCCCCCAGCAGCGGCCGCAUUGCCAGAGCCCCCUGCUCUGCUGCUCUGCCUGUCCGCCUAUCUGCCAUUCCAUCAUGUGUGUGCAGACGUGCCUGCUCCCUGGAUGCCAGCCUCUCACUGUCUCCUGUGCUUUUUGCCAGCCCAGGCAGUGACUGACCCGUGACCCAGCAUGCAAAGAAGCCUGGAGCCAGGGGCCCAGUGGAACCAGCUUCCUCCAAGGAGAUGACCUUUCUGCCCCCAAGGAAACCCCUUCCAGCUGAGCAGGGAAUCCGGCCGGAGGAAGGAGCAGCUUACCGACUGCGGGUGUUCACCACAGGCCAGGCCCUAAUAUGCACCCACUAGUUUAGCUCAGACUCCUCUCUACAUAUGAAUGGCAAAGGCACUUUUGAUAUACACUGUAAAAUACACUGUAUUUUAGAAUCGGAAUCUAUUUUCUAAUGUUCCCCUCAAGGGCUGAGUGGCAGGAAGGUUGAGGAUGCAGGACUUUGCAGCUGCACGUACAGAUUCAGGUACUUCUGGGUGACAGGUGUUGUGGGGGCAGGAAGGGCGGGGCAAGCCGAGGCUAGUCCAACUUCCAAUGACCUCAGGAGAAAGUGAGAUUUAAAGAGGUGUUCCCAGUAGACUCCAGCAAGAGGCUGGUUGGCGUGCUGUCUGGGAGAAGAGGGGCCCUUGGCUGCAGAGAUCAGCUGUCCCUGACCUGAUGACCAGCUCUGUGUGAAACUCCACGAGGAUCACACGUGGAGCCCAAGUCUGUGCCUUGCCCCUUGGGUUUGGCUUAGGGGCAACAGUGUGUUCAAGAGGACUGGGGCCCACAACCUGCCCCCAGGCUUCCUCCAGCAAAAGGCUCUUGUCAGAAAGAAAAAAGCAGUUUGCUAUCUUUUUUUUUUUUUGAGAUGGAGUUUCACUCUUGUUGCCCAGGCUGGAGUGCAAUGGCACGAUCUCGGUUCACUGCAACCUCUGCCUCCUGGGUUCAAGUGAUUCUCCUGCCUCAGCCUCCCAAGUAGCUAGGAUUACAGGCAUGUGCCACCACGCCCGGCUAAUUUUGUAUUUUUAGUAGAGACGGGGGUUUCUUCAUGUUGGUGAGGUUGGUCUCGAACUCCUGACCUCAGGUGAUUCAUCCGCUUCAGCAUCCCAAAGUGUUGGGAUUACAGCCGUGAGCCACCACGCCCAGCCUGCUUUCAUUUUUAACAGUACACAUUGAAAUACAGAAAAGGUGAGAGGAAGCAACUUUCAUUGUAUCGUAGCAAUAAACUCCACACUGGGUGACAUCUACCUAGAAAUCCCUUCCCUCUAACCAGGCCAUGAUGGGAACCUUUGCUGCCUGCCCUUGGAGAACCCCGGAUUGGCUUCCCUGGGACUCAGGUCUGGUGGCAGGAGGGCAGCAGUGUGCCCCCACCAUCCCUCAUGGCCUGCCGCCAGCAGGGCCAUAAUGGCAGGACUUUGAUUUGACUUCCAGCCCCACAUGAGGAGGGGGGCUACCAAGCCAGGUGCAGUGUUUGUGGCCCUUUAUUUAAGUUGUUUUCUUAUAUUAUUCUGCAUAUAAACAAUGACGUUUAAAUGGAAAAAACAACAACAACGAAAACCUCCAUUGGGUGGAGCCACACUUUAAAUGAAAAUUUCUCUUUGACUAUGCUCAGAAAAAAAAAUAGAAUUUUGAAUAUAUCUAGCAGUUGUUGUCUAUUUUUAACUAACUCCAUAUGCUGCCAGUAUCGACUUCAUGACAUUUGCCAAAAUAAAAUUUUAUUUUUGCCUUUAUAAGAUUUUCUUGGAAAAAAUGAAAUGAAUAUUUUGCAAGAAAAAGUUAAUUUAAAAAUGUAAUGGUUUGCAAAAAAAAUGUGAUGUACAGAUUAAAAUAUUAACCU